rnacentral:rRNA from 1 species
CCUACGGGAGGCAGCAGUGGGGAAUAUUGGGCAAUGGACGCAACUCUGACCCAGCAACGCCGCGUGAAGGAAGAAGGCUUUCGGGUUGUAAACUUCUGUUCUAAGGGACGAAGAAAGUGACGGUACCUUAGGAAUAAGCUCCGGCUAACUACGUGCCAGCAGCCGCGGUAAUACGUAGGGGGCAAGCGUUAUUCGGAUUUACUGGGCGUAAAGGGCGUGUAGGCGGGAUGGUAAGUCAGGCGUGAAAGCUAUGGGCUCAACCCAUGGACUGCGUUUGAUACUGGCGUUCUUGAGUGAGGGAGAGGCAAGCGGAAUUCCGAGUGUAGCGGUGAAAUGCGUAGAGAUAAGGAGGAACACCAGUGGCGAAGGCGGCUUGCUGGACAUUAACUGACGCUGAGGCGCGAAAGCGUGGGGAGCAAACAGGAUUAGAUACCCGAGUAGUC